UUAUUUAUAUAAAGUCUAGCCUGCCCAGUGAUUUAUUAAAUGGCCGCAGUAUUUUGACUGUGCGAAGGUAGCAUAAUCAUUAGUUUUUUAAUUGAAAGCUUGUAUGAAUGGUUGGACGAGAUAAAUACUGUCUCUAUUUAAUUUUUAGAAUUUAAUUUUUUAGUUAAAAAGCUAAAAUUUGAUUAAAAGACGAGAAGACCCUAUAAAGCUUUAUAUUAUUAAAUUUUAAUUAUUUUAUUUAUUUAAAUUUUUAAUGUUGAAUAAUAUUUAAUUGGGGUAAUUUAAAGAUUUAAAUAAUUCUUUAUUUUUUUUACAUAAAUAUAUGAUUAUAUGAUCCAUUAUUAUUGAUUUAAGAUUAAGUUACUUUAGGGAUAACAGCGUAAUUUUCUUGGGGAGUUCAUAUCUAUAGGAAAGUUUGCGACCUCGAUGUUGGAUUAAAAUUUAAUUUGGGUGUAGAAGUUCAAAUAUUUUGGUCUGUUCGACCAUUAAAAUUUUACGU
rnacentral:rRNA from 1 species